rnacentral:rRNA from 1 species
GGCUUAAGCACAUGCAAGUCGAGGGGCAGCGUGAUUGGUAGCAAUACCGAUUGACGGCGACCGGCGCAAGGGUGCGCAACGCGUGAGCAACUUGCCCUCAUCAGUGGGAUAACCGGUGGAAACGCCGACUAAUACCGCAUAGUCUUUAUUGAUAGCAUUAUUAAUAAAGUAAAGAUUCGUCGGAUGAGGAUAGGCUCGCGUGACAUUAGCUAGUUGGUAGGGUAACGGCCUACCAAGGCGACGAUGUCUAGGGGUUCUGAGAGGAAGGUCCCCCACACUGGAACUGAGACACGGUCCAGACUCCUACGGGAGGCAGCAGUGAGGAAUAUUGGUCAAUGGCCGAAAGGCUGAACCAGCCAUGCCGCGUGAAGGUCAGUGCCCUAUGGGCGUUAAACUUCUUUUGUGAGAGAGCAAUAAGGUCCACGAGUGGAUUGAUGAGAGUAUCUCACGAAUAAGCAUCGGCUAACUCCGUGCCAGCAGCCGCGGUAAUACGGGGGAUGCAAGCGUUAUCCGGAUUUAUUGGGUUUAAAGGGUGCGUAGGCGGCCUGUUAAGUCAGCGGUGAAAUGUCCUCGCUCAACGAGGAAACUGCCGUUGAUACUGGUGGGCUUGAAUGCGGAUGUCGUUGGAGGAAUGUGUGGUGUAGCGGUGAAAUGCAUAGAUAUCACACAGAACACCGAUUGCGAAGGCAUCUGACGAAUCCGCGAUUGACGUUGAGGCACGAAAGCGUGGGUAUCAAACAGGAUUAGAUACCCUGGUAGUCCACGCUGUAAACGAUGAUGACUAACCGUUGGCGAUAUACAGUCAGUGGCCAAGCGAAAGCGAUAAGUCAUCCACCUGGGGAGUACGGCCGCAAGGCUGAAACUCAAAGGAAUUGACGGGGGCCCGCACAAGCGGAGGAACAUGUGGUUUAAUUCGAUGAUACGCGAGGAACCUUACCCGGGCUCGAACAGGCAGAUGAAUAAAUUAGAGAUAGUU